AGAGUUUGAUCCUGGCUCAGGAUGAACGCUGGCGGCGUGCCUAACACAUGCAAGUCGAGCGGAGAUUUUAGAAAGUACUUGUACGAUCUGAAAUUUUAGCGGCGGACGGGUGAGUAACACGUGAGCAAUCUACCUUCUGCAGGGGAAUAACAUUGUGAAAACAGUGCUAAUACCGCAUGACAUCCGACUGGGGCAUCCCGGACGGAUCAAAGGAGAAAUCCGGCAGGAGAUGAGCUCGCGUCCGAUUAGCUAGUUGGUGAGGUAAUGGCUCACCAAGGCGACGAUCGGUAGCCGAACUGAGAGGUUGAUCGGCCACAUUGGGACUGAGACACGGCCCAGACUCCUACGGGAGGCAGCAGUGGGGAAUAUUGGGCAAUGGGGGAAACCCUGACCCAGCAACGCCGCGUGAAGGAUGAAGGCCUUCGGGUUGUAAACUUCUUUGAUCAGGGACGAAAAAAAUGACGGUACCUGAAGAACAAGCCACGGCUAACUACGUGCCAGCAGCCGCGGUAAUACGUAGGUGGCAAGCGUUAUCCGGAUUUACUGGGUGUAAAGGGCGUGUAGGCGGGUCUGCAAGUCGGAUGUGAAACCUCCAAGCUCAACUUGGAGCGGCCAUUCGGAACUGCUGUGGCUAGAGUCUGGUAGGGGAACACGGAAUUCCUGGUGUAGCGGUGAAAUGCUUAGAUAUCAGGAGGAACACCAGUGGCGAAGGCGGUGUUCUGGGCCAGUACUGACGCUGAGGCGCGAAAGCGUGGGGAGCGAACAGGAUUAGAUACCCUGGUAGUCC
rnacentral:rRNA from 1 species